AAUCUUCUUCAAGAUAUCUGGAAAUACCUACUUGCUGUCUCAUCUUUCAGUACAUUCAUGGUAUAGCUGCCCGAGGAGUUCAUUACUUGCACAGGGCAGGGCCAACACUUCAGGAUCUUGGGUUCUAUAUUCUUCCAGAGCUUGGGCAAGAUAAAGGCUACAUCAGUGAGACUGUGUACACCUUU